rnacentral:lncRNA from 1 species
ACCUGCAUGUCAUAUCAGUAUCUCCAUACCAUUUGGUUAUAAGGACAACCUAUGCAUAUGGCACACAAUGACCUAUACUUGAUAUUGCUAUCAUCCUAGUAAUAUCGUAUCAUUUGGUCGUGAAUCAAUUUAAAGAUUACGUGAUAAAUCCUCCUUUAUCGAUCAAAGGAAUCCUAAGGACUUCAUCACAAUAUAGGAGUUCAUUAGAAGAUAUA